rnacentral:lncRNA from 1 species
CAGCAUUGUGCCUGGUAGCUUUUUUUGCAUGCAGGAGGCAAUGUAUUCCAGGAAUAUUGGCACAGGAGGCUUUCAGCUUAAGUGGAGCCAAGAGAACGGCACUAUAGUAGACAUGGCCACAAUCCAAUCAGCCCUUCUUCUUGGGACAUAGGAUUCACAGAACCUAGAACGUCAGAAGUGUUGGUGGUAGAAAGAGAUGCAAUCUAGAACUCAGAGAAAGUUCUGGAGGGCAUAGUCACAAUGCAGGACCCUGGGACUUCAGAUAAGGCCAUGCCCUCUGUAGCAAGGUGUUUUAUAACCUUCCAUAAACAGAUCUUGUGUUACAAGAACACAGUAGAGAAAAGAACACUUGACCAUGGGAUACCAAGUCUGGUAUUCCUGGUGGAUCAGAAGCUACUGACAUCAUCUGGGAGCUUGUUAGAAAUGCAGAGAUGCAAUUUUCAAAACAGGAAGACUUGGAUUUUUUGA